UACCUAGGCAUCACUAGUUGCAUCUAUGAUGUGCCUUCUCUGUUGCUUUUUGGAAAGUAUUGAUCCCUAAGAGCAGCUUAGCCUAAGAAGCAGGGUAUAUGGAAUUGAAUUCAUAGAAGUCCAUUUGGCUGUACUUUUGUUGGGAGAAAUGUUUGUAGAAUGGUAUAAAAAUAUAGUAAAAUCAAAUAUAUUAUUUGGAGAUCACAGUAUAUGUCCUUUUAUUUAUCUAUCUUUUUAUUUUUUUAAUCUUUUUUGAGAUACGUAAGACCCAAGAGUUGUAACAUCCACCAAAAGGAGAAUCUUGGUGGAAAGGCAACUUUGUAUCCAUAAUGUAGAGUCCGGAGAAGAGAACAUUGAGAAGGAUAUUCAAGAGUCUAGAAAGAGGAGAUAAGACAAACCCUGCUCACGAAUCUUCAUUCAAGCAGGUCGAGUUUCAAAGCUCGAGUUUGAAGCAGGGAGCACAGGUGCUUCAAUUUAAUUCGUCUUAGCUUUUCGUGGAGAAAUUACAAAUCCAUUCUUAGUCCUUCACAGGCUGUUCAAGUGAUGCACCAUCGUUUAAUAGAGACAGAAAGCUCUAGUAUAGCCUGGAUCUCCCAGAGAAGAGAUUGUCAUUUCUUCAAGAACAUUCUUGAGGCCAACAUUUGAGAUGGAUGGCUGUCAUAGAGAGGUAGACAAGAUGGCCAACCACAAAGAAAUGGAAUACAAGGGAAACAAAUGCAAUCAAGAUAUUACAGAACCAUUCAUUUCAUGAAAGAAGGUUGUUGCGUUAAUGAAGAAUCUGACAAGAGCAACAAGGGUACAUCCUCUGUGUCCUAGAAACCAAUCAAUCCAUAUCCUCAAAAGACCAGCACAGGGCCUCCUGAUUCUUCUCUGUCAAGGAUGGAAAACACUUGACCUAUUCUCAACAAAUGAAAUGCAAACAAAUCAAAAAUUUCCAAGGCAUGUACCUUUGAAAUUUGUGAAUGAAAAGGGCUGUCAAUUUUUUUAUGAGAUGUAUGAUGCGUGGUUGGAUUUGGAAUUUUUGAUCAUUUUCACUUCAUUAGAUUUUAACUUGUGAGAAUGGAAAUUGAUUAACAGAUUUGAUAUGUUCAAUGGAUGAAUAGAUCAUGGAUGUUUUACUGUUA